rnacentral:rRNA from 1 species
CGAAAGCCUGACGGAGCAAGACCGCGUGAGGGAGGAAGGCUCUUGGGUUGUAAACCCCUUUUAUCUGGGAAGAACAAAAUGACGGUACCAGAUGAAUAAGCCUCGGCUAACUCCGUGCCAGCAGCCGCGGUAAUACGGAGGAGGCAAGCGUUAUCCGGAAUUAUUGGGCGUAAAGCGUCCGCAGGUGGCGAUUCAAGUCUGCUGUUAAAGACAGUGGCUCAACUACUGAAAGGCAGUAGAUACUGAAGGACUAGAGUGCGGUAGGGGCAGAGGGAAUUCCCGGUGUAGCGGUGAAAUGCGUAGAUUUCGGGAAGAACAUCGGUGGCGAAAGCGCUCUGCUGGGCCGCAACUGACACUCAGGGACGAAAGCUAGGGGAGCG